UGAGUUUGAUCCUGGCUCAGGACGAACGCUGGCGGCGUGCUUAAUACAUGCAAGUCGGACGAGGACCGGGUGCUUGCAUCCGGAGCCGAGUGGCGAACGGGUGAGUAACACGUGACCAAUCUGCCCUUGGGAGAGGGACAACCUGGGGAAACCCGGGCUAAUACCGCAUGAUGCGCAGCCAUCACAUGUCGGCUGCACCAAAGGGGGCCUCUACUUGUAAGCUCUCGCCCAGGGAGGAGGUCGCGGCGUAUCAGCUUGUUGGUGGGGUAACGGCCUACCAAGGCUACGACGCGUAGCGGGUCUGAGAGGACGAUCCGUCACAUUGGGACUGAGAUACGGCCCAGACUUCUACGGAAGGCAGCAGUAGGGAAUAUUGCGCAAUGGUCGAAAGACUGACGCAGCGACGCCGCGUGUGGGAGGAAGCCU
rnacentral:rRNA from 1 species